rnacentral:rRNA from 1 species
UGAGUUUGAUUCUGGCUCAGGAUGAACGCUGGCGGCGUGCUUAACACAUGCAAGUCGAACGAACCUUCGGGUUAGUGGCGGACGGGUGAGUAACGCGUGAGAAUCUGCCCUCAGGAGGGGGAUAACGGUUGGAAACGACCGCUAAUACCCCAUAUGCCUAUUGGUGAAAUGAAUUUCGCCUGAGGAUGAGCUUGCGUCUGAUUAGCUAGUUGGUGAGGUAAUGGCUCACCAAGGCUUCGAUCAGUAGCUGGUCUGAGAGGAUGAUCAGCCACACUGGGACUGAGACACGGCCCAGACUCCUACGGGAGGCAGCAGUGGGGAAUUUUCCGCAAUGGGCGAAAGCCUGACGGAGCAACGCCGCGUGAGGGACGAAGGCCUCUGGGCUGUAAACCUCUUUUCUCAAGGAAGAAGAUAUGACGGUACUUGAGGAAUAAGCCACGGCUAAUUCCGUGCCAGCAGCCGCGGUAAUACGGGAGUGGCAAGCGUUAUCCGGAAUUAUUGGGCGUAAAGCGUCCGCAGGCGGCUUUUCAAGUCUGCUGUUAAAACGUGGAGCUUAACUCCAUCAUGGCAGUGGAAACUGAAAGGCUUGAGUAUGGUAGGGGC